CAAUAGCGUAUAUUAAAGUUGUUGCGGUUAAAAGCUCGUAGUUGGAUUUCUGCCGAGGACGACCGGUCCGCCCUCUGGGUGAGUAUCUGGUUCGGCCUGGGCAUCUUCUUGGAGAACGUAUCUGCACUUGACUGUGUGGUGCGGUAUCCAGGACUUUACUUGAGGAAAUUAGAGUGUUUCAAGCAGGCACACGCCUUGAAUACAUUAGCAUGGAAUAAUAAGAUAGGACCUUGGUUCUAUUUUGUUGGUUUCUAGAGCUGAGGUAAUGAUUAAUAGGGAUAGUUGGGGGCAUUCGUAUUUAACUGUCAGAGGUGAAAUUCUUAGAUUUUCUUAAGACGAACAAAUGCGAAAGCAUCUGCCAAAGAUGUUUUCAUUGAUCAAGAACGAGAGUUAAGGGAUCGAAGACGAUCAGAU
rnacentral:rRNA from 1 species